GAAUUUUGAUCACAACUUAAUGAUAUGCCUAGGCAGGCUCCAGUACAGAAGGUCCAACCCCCCACGCUCAUACCAGGGCAAGGAGCGACCAUCCACUCACACUAGAAUUCAUUUCAAUGUGGGCAGAGGGAAGCCCCUUUUUCUCAACCACUUUUGUGAAAACAUUGAUCGAAAGCUGACGAGCUCUAGGAAAAGUUUUUGCUUUUCAUUCCUGCAUAUGUUGGACUCCCGCCAGGCCUGGGGAACCCUGCCCAUGGCAUUCCAUCAAUAACCACCCAGUAAGUUUCUAUGACCAUUCUCCUCACCCAGCAGUACAGCCACAUGGAUUGCUCCCCGAGCAACAGAGUAUGGAAUCAGAAGAGAGCGGGCGGCUUAGGAGACAAUGCGCCAGGCGGGAUCCAGUCCAGCUCUCUGUUCCACAAACCUCUCAGUGAGCCAAACAGCUCGGCCUUGGAAGGCUGCAAGUACACAGAGGCUCCAGGCAGGGACAGGAGGACAUGCUGAGAGUCACCUUCCCCACCA